GACGAACGCUGGCGGCGUGCUUAACACAUGCAAGUCGAACGGAAAGGCCCUGCUUUUGUGGGUUGCUCGAGUGGCGAACGGGUGAGUAACACGUGAGUAACCUGCCCUUGACUGUGUGGUAACUUCAGGAAACUGGGGCUAAUACCGGAGAGGAGCUCCUGCUGCAUGGUGGGGGUUGGAAAGUUUCGGCGGUUGGGGCUGGACUCGCGGCUUAUCAGCUUGUUGGUUGGGUAGGGGCUUACCAAGGCUUUGACGGGUAGCCGGCCUGAGAGGGUGACCGGCCACAUUGGGACUGAGAUACGGACCAGACUGCUACGGGAGGCAGUAGUGGGGAAUAUUGCACAACGGGGGGAAGCGUGAUGCAGCAACGCUGCGUGCGGGAUGACGGCCUUCGGGUUGUAAACAGCUUUCGACUGUGACGAAGCGUGAGUGACGGUAAUGGGUAAAGAAGCACCGGCUAACUACGUG
rnacentral:rRNA from 1 species